GAUUAUUUAUGGAUGUUGGAUUUAAAAACUUUCCUAAAUUUACCUCAUGUAUGAGGUGAAAGUGCUCCGUAAUUCUAUCCUUUGAGAGGGGAGUCGGAUUAAAGGGGUUUCCCGAGGAAGAGCGGCGAGGAGGAGGAGGUGGAAUUUGCUGGAAAAUGGUGUAGAGGAGGAAGCGGCGGGUCGGCACGGAGCGAGGGCAGUGCGGCCGAGGCGGGGCCGGGGCCGGGGGGGGCGCGAGCCGGGCGCGCGCCGCGUCCGUUGGUCAUGGCGCUGUGCGGCACCAGCACGGCGGUGGCGGCGGCGGCGGGCCAGCAGCGCCAGAGCGUCGCCAAGCUGAUGGCUUAUAACGGCGCCGGGGCCGCCCACCACCAUCAUCACCACCAUCACCACCAUCAUCACAACAACCACCACCACCAUCACCACAACAACCAGCAGCAGCAGCCGCCGCCGCCUCCUCCUCAGUCGCAUCCCCACCAUCAUCUACAUCCCGGAGCCACUGGUGGUGUUGCCGGUGGUGGAGGAGGAGGGGGCGGCAUCGGUACAGCGGUACACCCGGUCCAGCAUCACCACCACCCGGCCUCCGCCGCCGCCUCGUCGUCGUCGUCCUCGUCGUCCUCGUCCGCUGCCGCCGCCGCUGCUGCUGCUGCCGCGGCGGCGGCGGCGGCAGCGGCGAUGCUGAACCCGGCUCAGGCGCCGUAUUUCCCGUCCCCGGCGCCCGCCGCCGCCGCCGCCACGGUGCAGAUUCACGCCGCUGCCGCCGCCGCCAAGGCACAUCAGCUGGACAUCGAGCCCGACAGACCCAUCGGAUAUGGAGCCUUCGGAGUAGUCUGGUCAGUGACGGAUCCUAGAGAUGGAAAAAGAGUCGCACUCAAAAAGAUGCCCAACGUCUUCCAGAAUCUAGUUUCCUGCAAGAGGGUCUUCCGUGAGUUGAAGAUGCUCUGCUUCUUCAAACAUGAUAAUGUGCUCUCUGCACUUGAUAUACUCCAACCUCCACACAUUGACUACUUUGAAGAAAUCUAUGUUGUCACUGAGCUAAUGCAAAGCGACCUUCACAAGAUCAUCGUGUCUCCACAACCAUUGAGUUCUGAUCAUGUCAAAGUUUUCCUCUACCAGAUUUUGAGAGGACUGAAGUAUCUGCAUUCAGCUGGCAUAUUACACCGGGACAUUAAGCCAGGAAAUCUUCUUGUGAACAGCAACUGUGUCCUCAAGAUCUGUGACUUUGGUCUUGCCAGAGUAGAAGAACUUGAUGAGUCUCGUCACAUGACCCAGGAAGUUGUCACUCAGUAUUACCGAGCGCCAGAGAUCCUGAUGGGCAGUCGCCAUUACACUAAUGCCAUUGAUAUCUGGUCUGUAGGGUGCAUCUUUGCAGAACUCUUAGGUCGUAGAAUCUUAUUUCAGGCUCAAAGUCCCAUUCAACAGUUGGACUUGAUCACAGAUCUGUUGGGAACUCCAUCAUUAGAAGCCAUGCGAACAGCUUGUGAGGGUGCCAAGGCUCACAUACUCAGGGGUCCUCAUAAACAGCCAUCACUUCCUGUCCUUUAUACGCUAUCCAGCCAGGCUACUCAUGAAGCUGUCCACCUCCUCUGCAGGAUGUUAGUCUUUGAUCCUUCAAAAAGAAUCUCUGCAAAGGAUGCCCUGGCACAUCCAUAUCUGGAUGAAGGACGGCUUCGAUACCACACUUGUAUGUGCAAAUGCUGUUAUACCACCUCUACGGGGCGAGUUUACACCAAUGAUUUUGAGCCCAUCACCAAUCCCAAAUUUGAUGACAGCUUUGAAAAAAAUCUAACAUCUGUUCGGCAGGUUAAAGAGCUCAUUCAUCAAUUCAUUCUGGAACAGCAGAAAGGAAACCGGGUUCCACUAUGUAUCAACCCACAGUCUGCUGCAUUUAAAAGCUUUAUCAGCUCCACAGUAGCUCAGCCCUCUGAGAUGCCCCCAUCUCCACUGGUAUGGGAGUAAGUGGAAGAAACUACUGAUGACAAAUAUUUUAGGUUCUCACUGGAGUCUAAAAUUUGCAGUACCAUUUAUGUCGGGACAAUAAACAGGGGCAAAAAAAAAUACUGAGAGCCUGCUGAGAAACCGGUUUCAAGACUUCUCCUGAGGUUCAUCAUCCUAUGUGACACGUUUGCCGGUCACUUUGUACAAUGUAGAUUUGAAGUACAGUGGUGGAAAUUCAUUAAAUGUGAUAUUUAAAACAAAAAAUCUGUGGUACUAGUCAGUUUGUGCUACUGUAUAUUUAAAGACAAGUCCUCAGUUUGUUAUAAUAUCCCUUUAUGAUUGUAAUAAGCCAUUAAUUCUCACACAUGCUUCUUUGAGUAAAAAUAUUUCCCUUAUGUUUGGUUGUUUUUUGUAAUGAAGUGCACAAACUUCUUUGUUGCUUUAUUCAAAUACACAAGACUUUCAUGUGUCCAUUCUGUGAACAUAUUUUAAAACCACUUCUGCAUCUUUAGUGAGACCUUGGAGGGGGAGAAAAUGGUAAAAAGAUGCUGAAUUUUCUUCCUCAGAUUGAACCAAGGAAGAUUUGGUUUUGGAUUACAACCAGUUAAUCAUUGAAAUGAAAAUAUAUUUAACUCCAUAAAGGAAACAAGCUAUUUAAAUGUUUUCAUUAUGUUUGGGGACAUGUUUGUUUUGGUAUAGAAUACUGUAUUUAGGAUUGAUUCAUUACCAAAGACUUGUCUUGAAUCGCUACUUGAAUAUCUACAACUAAUAGUGAAAUAAAUGAUUUUUACAAAGAAAUUAAAUGACCUUGAUAUUAAACCAUAAAUGACCUGGCAUGGUUUUAAGCAUAAAAACCAAAAAGGCUGUAAAUACUUGGGUCAGGCAGCAUCAGAGGAGCAAAGAACAGCAUUAACAAUAU